AGAUCAGCUGUGGGUAUGAGAAUCUGAAUCCACACUGUAAAGUUAGACUUUGUCAUAUGACUUCCUUGCGGCAGUUUUAAAGUUCUCUGUAUGAAUAUUGUCAGUGCUCGAAGAGGCGAUCUGUAACUGUUUAGUACCACUUGGAAUGCCUAUUUCCCCUUCAGCCUCCAAUUCCAACUUCUCCCCUGUGGGCACCCUGCAGGUUGCAAAGCAGCUGAAGGAGCAGCAGAUGGUGAUGAGAGGCCACCGAGAGACCUCCAUGGUCCAUGAACUCAACCGGUACAUCCCCACAGCCGCGGCCUUUGGUGGGCUGUGCAUCGGGGCCCUCUCGGUCCUGGCUGACUUCCUGGGCGCCAUUGGGUCUGGAACUGGGAUCCUGCUCGCAGUCACAAUCAUCUACCAGUACUUUGAGAUCUUCGUUAAGGAGCAAAGCGAGGUUGGCAGCAUGGGGGCCCUGCUCUUCUGAGCCCAUCUCCCGGACAGGUUGAGGAAGCUGCUCCAGAAGCGCCUCGGAAGGGGAGCUCUCAUCAUGGCGCAUGCUGCUGUGGCAUAUGG
rnacentral:sRNA from 1 species